rnacentral:rRNA from 1 species
UGCGGCAGAGGCAGGCGGAAUUCGUGGUGUAGCGGUGAAAUGCUUAGAUAUCACGAAGAACUCCGAUUGCGAAGGCAGCUUGCUGGACCGUAACUGACGUUGAGGCUCGAAGGUGCGGGUAUCGAACAGGAUUAGAUACCCUGGUAGUCCGCACGGUAAACGAUGGACACCCGCCGUGGGCGACAUACAGUCCGCGGCCAAGCGAAAGCGUUAAGUGUCCCGCCUGGGGAGUACGCCGGCAACGGUGAAACUCAAAGGAAUUGACGGGGGCCCGCACAAGCGGAGGAACAUGUGGUUUAAUUCGAUGAUACGCGAGGAACCUUACCCGGGCUCGAACCUCCCCCGAAUCCGGCGGAGACGCCGGAGCCAGCAAUGGCGGGGGCGGAGGUGCUGCAUGGUUGUCGUCAGCUCGUGCCGUGAGGUGUCGGCUUAAGUGCCAUAACGAGCGCAACCCCUCCCUCCAGUUGCCAUCGGGUAAUGUCGGGGACUCUGGAGGCACUGCCAUCGCAAGAUGCGAGGAAGGCGGGGAUGACGUCAAAUCAGCACGGCCCUUACGUCCGGGGCUACACACGUGUUACAAUGGGGGGUACAGAGGGCCGCUGCACGGCGACGUUCGGCCAAUCCCUAAAUCCCCUCCCAGUUCGGACCGGAGUCUGGAACCCGACUCCGCGAAGCUGGAUUCGCUAGUAAUCGCGCAUCAGCCAUGGCGCGGUGAAUACGUUCCCGGGCCUUGUACACACCGCCCGUCAAGCCAUG